AUACGGAGGAUCCGAGCGUUAUCCGGAUUUAUUGGGUUUAAAGGGUGCGUAGGCGGCCUUUUAAGUCAGCGGUGAAAGUCUGUGGCUCAACCAUAGAAUUGCCGUUGAAACUGGGAGGCUUGAGUAUGUUUGAGGCAGGCGGAAUGCGUGGUGUAGCGGUGAAAUGCUUAGAUAUUAAGCAGAACCCCGAUUGCGAAGGCAGCCGGCCAAGCCAUGACUGACGCUGAUGCACGAAAGCGUGGGGAUCAAACAGGAUUAGAUACCCCGGUAGUCCACGCAGUAAACGAUGAUCACUAGCUGUUUGCGAUACAGUGUAAGCGGCACAGCGAAAGCGUUAAGUGAUCCACCUGGGGAGUACGCCGGCAACGGUGAAACUCAAAUGAAUUGACGGGG
rnacentral:rRNA from 1 species